GCAGGUACCAAUGAUUCCCUAAAGAUGCCUUUGCCCAUAUCCAGCAGGAAACAAUUUUAAGAACACAAUGCCCACAUACCCAAAGAGACAUGUUGGCUCCUGGCAGCACCAAUCUAUUUCAGAGAAGAUAUGGGCAUUGAAGAAACUGCAUAUGGAGUUAACUUACUUUGUGGCAAAUGUUAGUCACUGGACAACAAAGUAUCAACGAAUCAACUAAUGACAAACAGGACAAAAUGGAAAGACAGGACACAGGAAGAAAGUCUCUUUCUCAGGGGAAGGACAGCAGCAAGUGAAAAGAGCAGACCUCCAAGACAUGACAUCCAAACAAGAGGAAGAAGAUACAAUAAGACAAGGCAAAAGCCCUCAUAGUGAGGCUGGACAAGGCAAUACAGUAGGAGGAAAAGAGUCUCAAGAGCAGGCAAAAGGGUCAGAGAUACACUGCUUCCCACUGUUAAGAGUCCCACAAAAACACCAAGCUAACAGCCAUAACACAAAUGCAGAGGACGUGGUGCAAACCCACUGAAGUUCCAAUGCUUGCUGCUUCAGCCUCUGUGAACCAAUGGUUCCCAAUCUCUGAAGGGAGAGACCUGGUGGACACCUCCAAUUUAGACUCUAACUGCAUAUCUUAAUGCCAAAAUUACUGCAUUUUAUUCAACUCAUGUAAUAUCUACUUUUAUAACUAGAAAAUAUGAAAAAAUUUUUAAAAUAAAGAGAAUAGUUUUGAAUAAGGUAAAGAUUUUCCUAUACAAAAUAUUAAAUAUUAAUUUUUUUGUUUCAUUUAUUUAUUUAUUUAUUUAUUUAUUUAUUUAUUUAUUUAUUGUUUUUCGAGACAUGGUUUCUUUGUGUAGCUUUGGAGCCUGUCCUGGAACUCACUCUGUAGCCCAGGCUGGCCUUGAACUCAUAGAGAUCCCUCUGCCUCUGCCUCCUGAGUGCUGGGAUUAAAGGCAUAUGCCACCACCGCCCAGCAUAAAUGUUUCUCAUGCAACAAAGGAAGAAGGAAAAUCCCAGUGGUGAGAUUCAUGUAGACUUUGGAGGGAGUAGUCAGUCUUUAAGAGGCCAUGAGAGGAUUGACCUUGGGCAGCCACCAAAUAUCAGGACAACUAAUUACAACUGUUUACUUAAUCUUAUAAAUAAAAAAGCGAUUGAAAGAGUGUAAAGAAUAUGUUUUAAAGCAAAUGGAGACAGAUCAGGAAAAUACUGAAGAGGUUGUAACUGUCAUUCUGCCCCAUCCUUCCUCACCAUCUGAUUGAACAAUCAAGAUACUCAACUUCAGUGUCUUCAAAUUUAUUCUUUCCACUUGAAACAAUCUUAUGUUGUGAAAAAUCAAUGAGUUUCUUCCUGUGUCCAAUAGUCAUUUCCUAAACACAUUUAUUUACUUUUAUACAAAAUGCACUAUAAAGAAAAAAGAACAAAAUUAUUUGAGUACUGAUUUUAACUUUUCAUGAAUAAAUAUGGUGACAUCAGUAGGAGAUGCCAUCAACUCAGAUGCAGCAUGAGAAUUAUCAUUGUAUAAGUACUCAAAAAAAUGAAGGAAAGCCAUUCUCUUAAAACUUUUAAAAGGAUAGUGAUCCCAAUAUGGAAAUUCUGAGAUAAAAGUGAAGAUUUCAAAAUUGAGUUUUACAUCUCAGAGUGAUGGGGGAGGAAACAUUCAUUAUAAGACCUUGGUGAGCAAUAAAAGAUGCUCUGUCUUAGGGGUAGUUUGUUCUACCACACUUUGAAUGAAAGUCAAUAAAUAGGAGUGGAUCUUUCCAAUUGUUAACUUCAUUUCAUCGCUUAAAUCCAUGGUCACUGAUUAAUGAUCUGUUUCCUCAGUCUUUGACCAAGAGUCUCUUAUUGGGCAAUUGAAGGUUUUUUUGUUUUUUUUUGUUUUUUUGUUUUUUUGAGACAAGAUUUCUCUGUGUAGCCCUGGCCAUCCUGUAACUUACUCUGUAGACCAGGCUCCCAUCAAACCCAAUGAUUCACCUGCAUUGACUACCCAAGUACUGGGAUUAAGGCCAUGUAACAUCACCAUCCAGGUGAAUAUUCUUAUUUUCAGCUUCCUUAGUCCUAAACUCCUGCCUUACUCACUAGACUUUCUUCAGAGGAUUCUGUUUUCUCACUCUUAGAACUUGCUAAGACCAGAAUACUUGGAUUCACUAUGAAACCAAAACCAACAACCAAAAUGCUUCAUGCAUCUAUGAUAACUAUAUGAUUUCUCUAUGAUAUAUUCUAACACACAGAUCAUUUAUACUCCUUCUAGCUAAUGGAUUCCAAAAGGACACAGUAUAUAAAGCCUCAUAAGGAAGAAAUAGCUCUAUCUCUAAAAUGUAUCUAUUUUCUUUGAAAAAUCACCAUGGGUAAAGUUGCAACUAAGGUAUGAAACAGUAACUUGUGUUACAUUCUACCUGUGUGUGUCAGGGGUGAUCCAGACUCACCCAUAUAGCUUGGGUAAUGACCACUCAGGCAUAUACAAGAAUUAAAAUUACAUGGCAUUUUCUGGUUUGUCUUUGUAGUGGAUAGAGUUAGCAUUUCAAAGUGUUAUUGCAUGUUAUGAGAAAUACUGAGGAUUCCAUGACAGUAGUAAAGUACACUGUGUUUAGAAUGCAGGAUGCUUAUGGUGAGUAUGAAAUGUAAUGAGGUUUCUUUACCACUGACCAUGAGAGGAUUUCAGAGAAAGACAGUACAGAAAUUUGUGUGUGGAUCAUUUGAGCCUGAUCCAGAUUCUGCUAGUACCAAUGUCAGCAGUGUCAGCUUGUGCCUUGACUGGCCUGAAGACAAUGGCAGCAAUGUUCCCAGGAGCCAUAGACAGAGAGUAGAGCCUGGAUCUACACAAUUGCAUUACUGAAAACUGAAAACAAAUGUGAAACAUGAGCAGAACAUGAUUGUGUUGGAGGCCACUCCUGUCAACCUGUAAGACAGGUUGAGAAAAAAUGCUUCAUUUUCAUUCUAAUAUGUUAUCAGAUUUAUACUCAAUAUAUAAGAAAUAAAAAAUAAAUAUAAAAAAUAAAAAAUCAAUACCAUAAUGAAAUAUUACUUCACAGUAAUUAUUAAGUUGAUAACAGAAUAAAUGACAAAUAAUUUAUCUGUGGAGAGAUCAUAAAUUAUUGUAUUAUUACUUGGCAUGGAAAUGAGGAACAGCCCCUAGACAACAUGGGACCUGAUGAAGAACCCAGGGAUAUGCCUUCCAUUUCACUGACCAAUUUCACUGCAAGGUACUCCAAGUUCAGGAGAACUGAAACCUGAAAGCAGUAUGAAUGUUUGCACUCUCCCCUGUUCACACCAGCAUUAUUCAGAAUAGGCAAAGGGAAUAUAAAGAAAUUUUGAAAUAAACCAUACAAUGAAUUAUAGCAAUAUCCAUAUACAGUCAUAUCUUGAUUGAUAAUAACAAUGAAUUCUGUGUAAUGUAUCACAAGAUAAUUUUACAAUUGUGUAAAUAUCACAAAGUAAAUGAAUAUAAGCCUAGAUUAUAAAUCAUUCUACCUACUAAGGAUUUUGAUAUAUACCAUUGUUCCUAAGUAAGGCACCUAUAGAGAAAAUGAGCAUAUUGACAAUUGGACUCAGUAAUAACACAAUGGUAGGUAAUUAUAGAUUUAAGCAUGUCUAAGCAAUUAAUAGAUAUAGUGAAAUUACAUUAUAAAAGAUAAAGUAUAAUACACUUAUAGAGGAGAGGGUACAUGUUGUAAGCAGAGACUGCAGGCUGAAAGUUCCUCUGAGGAGGAGUGACAGAAGACUGAAAGUGAAGGGUACUGCCACCACAGUCACGUCAGAGUUAAAAGUCCUGUAUGAUGCAUCAGCCAUCCCCAAGCUUGUAGUUGCAACAGGAAAUAACCUGCAACUCUGAGAUUCUCCACUGGAAAUAAGCUUCAUCUUACAACUUGUUCACCAUGCAUCACUGACUCACCUGCUCCAGCAACAAAUGUGAGUCAUAGACUGAGUGUGUGAACAACUGACCCCCAAGUGGGCACUUCAUGUUCUCUUUACCACCUUCAACCAAAGUCUUCAAACUCUUUUAUUUCCUUGAUUUUGAUCCAUUUUUUCCUUUGUUUACUCAAAUUAUGUUGAAUAAAACGUAUAUUUCUAUGCUG